UACGUAGGGGGCAAGCGUUGUCCGGAAUCAUUGGGCGUAAAGAGCGUGUAGGCGGCUCGGUAAGUCCGCUGUGAAAGUCCAGGGCUCAACCGUGGAGGGUCGUUGGAAACUGGGGGACUUGAGUGCAGGAGAGAAGAGUGGAAUUCCACGUGUAGCGGUGAAAUGCGUAGAGAUGUGGAGGAACACCAGUGGCGAAGGCGACUCUUUGGCCUGUAACUGACGCUGAGGCGCGAAAGCGUGGGGAGCAAACAGG
rnacentral:rRNA from 1 species